rnacentral:rRNA from 1 species
UUGACCUCAAAUCAGGUAGGACUACCCGCUGAACUUAAGCAUAUCAAUAAGCGGAGGAAAAGAAACUAACAAGGAUUCCCCUAGUAACUGCNAGUGAAGCGGGAAAAGCUCAAAUUUAAAAUCUGGCGGUCUUGCGGCCGUCCGAGUUGUAAUCUGGAGAAGCGUUUAUCCGCGUCGGACCGUGUACAAGUCUUCUGGAAGGGAGCGUCGUGGAGGGUGAGAAUCCCGUCUUUGACACGGACAACCGGUGCUUUUGUGA